rnacentral:lncRNA from 1 species
CAGAAUUUCUAAACUUUGAAGUUGAAACCCAUCACGCCUGUGUAAUGAACUGCAGUAUCUGACCGUCCAUGUAGAACCUUAUUUUUAGGUGUUAUGUACUCAAAUAUGUUCAAACUGAGACCUUGAAAAGCCCUAAACGACGAAAAGUGUAAAAAAUCUACAAUUUCGUCAUGUUCGGAGACAAAAUUUGACAUCAGCGCCAACGUAGAC